rnacentral:rRNA from 1 species
UGGGGAAUAUUGCACAAUGGGCGAAAGCCUGAUGCAGCAACGCCGCGUGAGUGAUGAAGGUCUUCGGAUUGUAAAGCUCUGUCUUUUGGGACGAUAAUGACGGUACCAAAGGAGGAAGCCACGGCUAACUACGUGCCAGCAGCCGCGGUAAUACGUAGGUGGCGAGCGUUGUCCGGAUUUACUGGGCGUAAAGGGUGCGUAGGCGGAUGUUUAAGUGAGAUGUGAAAUACCCGGGCUUAACUUGGGUGCUGCAUUUCAAACUGGAUAUCUAGAGUGCAGGAGAGGAGAAUGGAAUUCCUAGUGUAGCGGUGAAAUGCGUAGAGAUUAGGAAGAACACCAGUGGCGAAGGCGAUUCUCUGGACUGUAACUGACGCUGAGGCACGAAAGCGUGGGUAGCAAACAGGAUUAGAUACCCUGGUAGUCCACGCCGUAAACGAUGAGUACUAGGUGUAGGAGGUAUCGACCCCUUCUGUGCCGCAGUAAAACACAUUAAAGUACUCCGCCUG